rnacentral:rRNA from 1 species
GAUGAACGCUGGCGGCGUGCUUAACACAUGCAAGUCGAACGGAAAGGCUCCUGCUUGCAGGGGUACUCGAGUGGCGAACGGGUGAGUAACACGUGGGUGAUCUGCCCUGCACUUCGGGAUAAGCCUGGGAAACUGCGUCUAAUACCGGAUAGGACGAUGGGAUGGAUGCCAUUGUGGAGAGAUGUUCGGUGUGGGAUGAGCUCGCGGCCUAUUAGCUUGUUGGUGGGGUAAUGGCCUACCAAGGCGUCGACGGGUAGCCGGCCUGAGAGGGGGUACGGCCACAAUGGGACUGAGAGACGGCGCAGACUCGUACGGUAGGCAGCAGUGGGGAAUAUUGCACAAUGGGCGCAAGCCUGAUGCAGCGACGCUGCGUGGGGGAAGACGGCCUUCGGGUUGUAAACACCUUUCGCUAGGGACGAAGAGAAAGUGACGGUACCUGGAGAAGAAGCACCGGCUAACUACGUG